UACAGAGGUCCCAAGCGUUGUUCGGAUUCAUUGGGCGUAAAGGGUGCGUAGGCGGCGCGGUAAGUCGGGUGUGAAAUCUCGGAGCUUAACUCCGAAACUGCAUUCGAUACUGCUGAGCUAGAGUACUGGAGAGGAGAUUGGAAUUUACGGUGCAGCAGUGAAAUGCGUAGAUAUCGUAAGGAAGACCAGUGGCGAAGGCGGAUCUCUGGACAGUUACUGACACUGAGGCACGAAGGCCAGGGGAGCAAACGGG
rnacentral:rRNA from 1 species